rnacentral:sRNA from 1 species
GUAUGUCGGGUUCUUGAGGAGGGGGCUCAGGGCUCCCCUAUCCCUGAGGAGAGGGAGCAGGGGGGCUCUGAGGCCUGAGAGACCACUCAUCCGCCCUCCUCACAGCAUGGGCCAGUGGAAGAUCCAAGCCUACUAUGAAAACUCACCACAGGAGGUCUUCUCCGCUGAGUUUGAGGUGAAGGAGUACGUGCUGCCCAGUUUCGAGGUCAUAGUGGAGCCUACAGAGAAAUUCUACUACAUCUAUAACGAGAAGGGCCUGGAGGUCACCAUCACCGCCAGGUUCCUCUACGGGAAGAAAGUGGAGGGAACUGCCUUUGUCAUCUUCGGGAUCCAGGAUGGGGAACAGAGGAUUUCCCUGCCUGAAUCCCUCAAGCGCAUUCCGAUUGAGGAUGGCUUGGGGGAGGUUGUGCUGAGCCGGAAGGUACUGCUGGAAGGGGUGCAGAACCCCCGAGCGGAAGACCUGGUGGGGAAGUCUUUGUACGUGUCUGUCACCGUCAUCUUGCACUCAGGCAGUGACAUGGUGCAGGCAGAGCGCAGCGGGAUCCCCAUCGUGACCUCUCCCUACCAGAUCCACUUCACCAAGACACCCAAGUACUUCAAACCAGGAAUGCCCUUUGACCUCAUGGUGUUCGUGACGAACCCCGAUGGCUCUCCAGCCUACCGAGUCCCUGUGGCAGUCCAGGGCGAGGACACUGUGCAAUCUCUAACCCAGGGAG